UACGGAGGGGGCGAGCGUUAUUCGGAAUUAUUGGGCGUAAAGGGCGCGUAGGCGGCCCGGUAAGUCAAAGGUGAAAUCCCUCGGCUCAACUGAGGAACUGCCUUUGAAACUGUCGGGCUUGAGGCCGGGAGGGGGUAGCGGAAUUCCCAGUGUAGCGGUGAAAUGCGUAGAUAUCUGGAGGAAUACCGGUGGCGAAGGCGGCAUCCUGGACCGGCAUUGACGCUGAGUGAGCGAAAGCCAGGGGAGCAAACAGG
rnacentral:rRNA from 1 species